GUCCCGGGGGAGCCUGCUCUGGGGGUAUCGAGGGGUGUUUGUUUCUAAUUCCUUCCAGCCAGUGGGUGCACCCCUAGCAACAGCACCCCUAGCAACAGCACCCCCGCUUCACCUGCCGCUGGCUUUACACACAUUGGGCACUCUCCUAAUUAAGGAAGAAACUAAUUAAGACAAAAACUUGCAGUUUUUUCUCUCUAGUCUGCUACACUGAAGUCAGUACCAUUGUAGAGAGAUGUCAGAAAUAUAUAAGUAGGCCCGCUAAUCCAUGAGCACCGUCCAAACCUACCUUGCCUGCUACACCUACAUCAUUCCUCAAAGAGAAAGGUGCAGUCUGGAUAGACAGCGGGUGGCAGGGUGAAGACCACAAUAAAUUAAGAUGGAGGCCCCACCAAGCAGAAAGAGAUAGGGAAUAAUGUUAGGGACUGCCCCAUAACGAGCCAAUAUUGUUUUCCUUAGUCUAAUAAAAGUUCAGUGUUUGGUAUUACAAGAAAGCAGUCCUUUCUGUUGUCACAAGGCACACACUCAGAAGUUGACUCGCACAAACCAGCCUAAAGGAAAGGAAAAUUAAAUGCCACAUUUCAAUUCUCCACUAGGCUUUCAGUUUAAUGGGCCAAUGAAGUGGCCUGAGUGGAAAGAAGACUUCACCAGACUUCUAACUGCAACUAAGUUUAGCACAGUGACUGUUAGAUCACCUCAGUAUUUAAUGCAAGGAGGGAAGCAAAACUGAAAAUAUUUAUAAAUCAUUUUCCUUCACUGAGGGAGGAGAUAACCAUUCUGCCUCACUACGCAUUUAUUAUUCCUAGAAUGAGCCAGUAAAUUAAUGGAUAAAAAGAACAGGUUGACAAUUUAUGUAGACUUUCAAAUUACCUUUGAGAAAGUCUCCCACAGGAGGCCAGUGAGAAAACAGUCUGAGAUGAGAGUAAGUCAAAAUAUUAGGAGCAGAUAUGAGACUAUUUUAACACAGAGGCCAUUUGAGGACAAUUCUAUAAUGAAGCUGAACAGUGAAGCAGAGGAAGUGUGUAGCAUUAGAUGACUACUUUUUUCUCAUUGAGUCUUUGUGUCUCCUGUAUUAUCGGAAAAUGUCAACAAAAUGUUUUAAAAGACAUUAGAAGAAGCCACUGUUUAUGUGAAUGAGCCCCACUUCAUGAGAAAAUCAUCGGACAGAACAGCUGGCCUGAAAGGUCUAGUGUCCAUAACUGCGUCUCAGCUGGAGACAGCUGCUAAACUUCCUACAUGGAAUAGAUUCUUCCUGUAUAUUUUGGAAAGAUCUCAAAACACUCUCAGCAAGCAGAUUCCACAAAUAUAAUGGGGCUGAGGCCAAAACUGACAUUAAUAAAGUAAUUUGGUCUGAUCCUCUUCCAUUGAUGUACAUGGGAAUUUAUCAUUUUAAGAAUGUGAGAUCCAAGUCCUAAGUAAUGUAAAGUAGACAGAUGUUGAAAAUAUGAAGGGGUAGAAUCUUAUCACAUUUCUACAAGGUUUUAUUUGUUCCCCCUUCAUGCUUUCCCAAGAAUGUGGCCAGAUAUAGUGAGGGUGUGAAACAAAAGUGCUUUAACAUUAUGUAUGUAAUAAUAGCUACUGAUUAUUAGGA